AAACCAGCACCUCAAGUGGUCAGGAUGAUUAUUGGGCCUAAAGCAUCCGUAGCCUGCUCUGUAAGUUUUCGGUUAAAUCUGUACGCUCAACGUACAGGCUGCCGGGAAUACAGCAGAGCUAGGGAGUGGGAGAGGUAGACGGUACUCGGGAGGAAGUGGUAAAAUGCUUUGAUCUCUCGAUGACCACCUGUGGCGAAGGCGGUCUACCAGAACACGUCCGACGGUGAGGGAUGAAAGCUGGGGGAGCAAACCGGAUUAGAAACCCGAGUAGUCC
rnacentral:rRNA from 1 species